rnacentral:rRNA from 1 species
UGCAAGUCGAACGAUGAAGCCCAGCUUGCUGGGUGGAUUAGUGGCGAACGGGUGAGUAACACGCGAGUAACCUGCCCCCGACUCUGGGAUAAGCCCGGGAAACUGGGUCUAAUACCGGAUAUUACCUCUUGCCGCAUGGCAGGUGGUGGAAAGAUUUAUCGGUGGGGGAUGGACUCGCGGCCUAUCAGCUUGUUGGUGAGGUAAUGGCUCACCAAGGCGACGACGGGUAGCCGGCCUGAGAGGGUGACCGGCCACACUGGGACUGAGACACGGCCCAGACUCCUACGGGAGGCAGCAGUGGGGAAUAUUGCACAAUGGGCGAAAGCCUGAUGCAGCGACGCCGCGUGAGGGAUGACGGCCUUCGGGUUGUAAACCUCUUUCAGUAGGGAAGAAGCGAAAGUGACGGUACCUGCAGAAGAAGCGCCGGCUAACUACGUGCCAGCAGCCGCGGUAAUACGUAGGGCGCAAGCGUUAUCCGGAUUUAUUGGGCGUAAAGAGCUCGUAGGCGGUUUGUCGCGUCUGCCGUGAAAGUCCGAGGCUCAACCUCGGAUCUGCGGUGGGUACGGGCAGACUAGAGUGAUGUAGGGGAGACUGGAAUUCCUGGUGUAGCGGUGAAAUGCGCAGAUAUCAGGAGGAACACCGAUGGCGAAGGCAGGUCUCUGGGCAUUUACUGACGCUGAGGAGCGAAAGCAUGGGGAGCGAACAGGAUUAGAUACCCUGGUAGUCCAUGCCGUAAACGUUGGGCACUAGGUGUGGGGGACAUUCCACGUUUUCCGCGCCGUAGCUAACGCAUUAAGUG